rnacentral:rRNA from 1 species
GCGAUUGCCCUAGUAACGGCGAGUGAAGCGGCAGCAGCCCAGAUUUGGAAUCUGGCCCCCUUGCGGGGCCCGAGUUGUAAUCUGCAGAGGAAGCGUCUGGCGCGGCGCCGGCCUAGUUCCCUGGAACGGGACGCCGUAGAGGGUGACAGCCCCGUACGGUCGGCCGCCAAGCCUGUGUGUCGCUCCUUCGAAGAGUCGCGUAGUUUGGGAAUGCUGCGCAAAGUGGGAGGUAUGCUCCUCCUAAGGCUAAAUACCGGCCAGAGACCGAUAGCGCACAAGUAGAGUGAUCGAAAGAUGAAAAGUACCUUGAAAAUGGGGUUAAACAGUACGUGAAAUUGCCAAAGGGGAAGCGCUCGUGGCCAGACUCGCGCCCGGCGGAUCAUCCGGCUCUCCCGCCGGUGCACUCUGCCGGGCUCGGGCCAGCGUCGGUCGGCGCCGGUACUGAAAGGCGGUGCGAAUGUGGCUCCCUUCGGGGAGUGUUAUAGCGCGCCGCGUAAUGUGCUGGUGCCGUCCGAGGACCGCGCUUUAUGCAAGGACGCUGGCGUAAUGGCCACUAGCGGCCCGUCUUGAAACACGGACCAAGGAGUCGCCCAGAGGCGCGAGUGUGCGGGUGACAAACCCCUGCGCGUAGUGAAAGCGAACGCUGGUGGGAGCCCUUACGGGCGCACCACCGACCGAUCCUGAUGUCUUCGGAUGGAUUUGAGUAUGAGCGUCUCUGGUCGGACCCGAAAGAGGGUGAACUAUGCUUGGGUAGGGUGAAGCCAGAGGAAACUCUGGUGGAGGCCCCGUUUGGGUUCUGACGUGCAAAUCGAUCCAUAAACACUGGGCAUAGCGGC